rnacentral:misc_RNA from 1 species
GAUGAAGAACGCAGCGAAAUGCGAUAAGUAGUGUGAAUUGCAGAAGUACCGUGAAUCAUCGAAUCUUUGAACGCAAAUUGCACUCUCUGGUAUUCCGGGGAGUAUGCCUGUUUGAGGGUCGCUUAACAAACCAUCGAUUUCGUUGCUUUUUUUUUUUAAAGUGAUGUUUAUCGGAUUUGAGCCGUCUUUUUUUUUAUAUUUAAGUGGCUUAAAAUUGAUUUUUUUGGUACGAUCGAAGCGUAUUUUUAUGAUCAAUUUUUGGUUAAAGAAACGCACACGUACCGUUAUUUAUAUGAUGUAAUACGUUUGACUAUUGGAUUUAGUUCAUUCGUAUACGAUAUCUUUCAAUAUUUGACCUCAAAUCAGGUAAGAACACCCGCUGAACUUAAGCAUAUCAAUAAGCGGAGGA